GAAAGGCGAAACGUAAUGUGAAUCGCAACUAACAGUGAAUCAUCGAAUCUUUGAACGCAGGCCGCAUCUUGCAACAUCACUCUGUGUUGUUACUAGGUAUCUACGUAUGAGUGUCAGCCCAAUAUCCUUUAUUGGUUCAAGAUGUAUUUUGAUGAAAUCUUUUUAAGAUUUUUUCUCAGAGUCUUGGAUACAUAUUUUAUGGAAAUAAUUUAUGUCUGGCCUCAUAUGUGGAAGGUUACCCGCUGGAUUUAAGC
rnacentral:misc_RNA from 1 species